rnacentral:rRNA from 1 species
CCUACGGGGGGCAGCAGUAGGGAAUCUUCCACAAUGGGCGAAAGCCUGAUGGAGCAACGCCGCGUGGGUGAAGAAGGUCUUCGGAUCGUAAAACCCUGUUGUUAGAGAAGAAAGUGCGUGAGAGUAACUGUUCACGUUUCGACGGUAUCUAACCAGAAAGCCACGGCUAACUACGGGCCAGCAGCCGCGGUAAUACGUAGGUGGCAAGCGUUAUCCGGAUUUAUUUGGCGUAAAGGGAACGCAGGUGGUCUUUUAAGUCUGAUGUGAAAGCCUUCGGCUUAACCGGCGUAGUGCAUUGGAAACUGGGAGACUUGAGUGCAGAAGAGGAGAGUGGAACUCCAUGUGUAGCGGUGAAAUGCGUAGAUAUAUGGAAGAACACCAGUGGCGAAGGCGGCUCUCUGGUCUGUAACUGACGCUGAGGUUCGAAAGCGUGGGUAGCAAACAGGAUUAGAUACCCUUGUAGUC